GAAAUCUCCCGGCUCAACCGGGAAACUGCCAUUGAUACUGUCGUUCUUGAGUAUAGUUGAAGUGGGCGGAAUGUGUCAUGUAGCGGUGAAAUGCUUAGAUAUGACACAGAACACCGAUAGCGAAGGCAGCUCACUAAGCUGUAACUGACGCUCAUGCACGAAAGCGUGGGGAUCAAACAGGAUUAGAUACCCUGGUAGUCCACGCUGUAAACGAUGAUCACUCGUUGUUGGCGAUAUACUGUCAGCGACUGAGCGAAAGCAUUAAGUGAUCCACCUGGGGAGUACGGCGGCAACGUUGAAACUCAAAGGAAUUGACGGGGGCCCGCACAAGCGGAGGAGCAUGUGGUUUAAUUCGAUGAUACGCGAGGAACCUUACCUGGGCUUAAAUGCAGGACGACGUCUGCCGAAAGGUGGAUUUCCUUCGGGACGUCUUGCAAGGUGCUGCAUGGUUGUCGUCAGCUCGUGCCGUGAGGUGUCGGGUUAAGUCCCAUAACGAGCGCAACCCUUAUCAUUAGUUGCCAUCAGGUCAUGCUGGGAACUCUAAUGAAACUGCCUACGCAAGUAGUGAGGAAGGUGGGGAUGACGUCAAAUCAGCACGGCCCUUAUGUCCAGGGCGACACACGUGCUACAAUGGCCAGUACAGAGGGUUGCUACCUGGUGACAGGAUGCUAACCUCGAAAGCUGGUCUCAGUUCGGAUCGAAGUCUGCAACUCGACUUCGUGAAGUUGGAUUCGCUAGUAAUCGCGCAUCAGCCAUGGCGCGGUGAAUACGUUCCCGGGCCUUGUACACACCGCCCGUCAAGCCAUGGGAGUUGGGGGUACCUAAAGUCCGUAACCGCAAGGAGCGGCCUAGGGUAAAACCAAUGACUGGGGCUAAGUCGUAACAAGGUAACC
rnacentral:rRNA from 1 species